rnacentral:lncRNA from 1 species
GCUGGAUCAUAUGGUAACUGUAUAUGUAACCAUUUGAGGAACUGCCAGCCUGUUUUCCCGGGUAGUUGCACUAUUUUACAUUUCCACCAGCAGUGUGUGAGGGUUCCAGUUUCUCCACAUUGUUGUCAGCAUUUGUGGACUGUCUCUUUAUUUUAUUUAAAUUCAAUUAAAUUUUUUGAGACAGAAUCUCACUGUCACCUAGGCGGGAGUCUUCUACCUUUGUUCUUCUGUUUCAGGAUUAUUUUGGCUAUUCUAUAGCCCCUGAAUUUCCAUAUAAAUUUUAGGAUCAUUUGUUAAUUUCUGCCACAAAGGCAGCUGGGAUUUUGACAGUAAUUGUAUUGAAUCUGUGGAUAAACUUGGGGAGCCAUCUUAAUGAAUAGCAACUUAAUAUUAGGUUGUUUUUAGAUUCUGUCUUUUUGUGGGAUGGUUAUCUUCUCUGUGAUUUUGAUAGGAAAGUAAAUCGUAAUGAAUUUUAUUAAAACUCAGUUGUCAUGGUAACAUAAUCAGCCCUAUAAUGAAACUUCAUCCUUUCCCCCGCCUUUUUUUUUUUAAAAACAGAUUUUGUACUUCUUUAUCAAUUUAAAAAGAUAAACUUGAUAGAUUGGUGGCUUGUUCAAAAAUUUUUUUUUCUUUUGGUAGGAUUUAUGUUUACUGGGAUGGUACCAUACCUGCAAUAAUGGAAAGACUAGCAAACCUUAUGAAAUUAUUUUUAUUAUAUAUAACUUAAAAAAAGUGUAUCACUUCAUGGGCUUGUAAAAGUUUUUUAAAAAAUGUUAAUCUGUCUUCAUUAUAAAAGCCAUA